ensembl:scaRNA
AUGACUAGUCUCGCUGUGCCAGACCUUCCUCCACAGUGUUGUGGAGGAGGGUCUGGCUAGUCACACAGCAUUCUAGGAUGGGAGAAAAACUUGCUCUGGUUUAUUGGCAUUUCUUUAAACCAAUCACAAU